rnacentral:rRNA from 1 species
GUUGAGUGGCGGACGGGUGAGUAACACGUGGGUAACCUGCCUAAAAGAAGGGGAUAACACUUGGAAACAGGUGCUAAUACCGUAUAUCUCUAAGGAUCGCAUGAUUCUUAGAUGAAAGAUGGUUCUGCUAUCGCUUUUAGAUGGACCCGCGGCGUAUUAACUAGUUGGUGGGGUAACGGCCUACCAAGGUGAUGAUACGUAGCCGAACUGAGAGGUUGAUCGGCCACAUUGGGACUGAGACACGGCCCAAACUCCUACGGGAGGCAGCAGUAGGGAAUCUUCCACAAUGGACGCAAGUCUGAUGGAGCAACGCCGCGUGAGUGAAGAAGGUCUUCGGAUCGUAAAACUCUGUUGUUAGAGAAGAACACGAGUGAGAGUAACUGUUCAUUCGAUGACGGUAUCUAACCAGCAAGUCACGGCUAACUACGUGCCAGCAGCCGCGGUAAUACGUAGGUGGCAAGCGUUGUCCGGAUUUAUUGGGCGUAAAGGGAACGCAGGCGGUCUUUUAAGUCUGAUGUGAAAGCCUUCGGCUUAACCGGAGUAGUGCAUUGGAAACUGGAAGACUUGAGUGCAGAAGAGGAGAGUGGAACUCCAUGUGUAGCGGUGAAAUGCGUAGAUAUAUGGAAGAACACCAGUGGCGAAAGCGGCUCUCUGGUCUGUAACUGACGCUGAGGUUCGAAAGCGUGGGUAGCAAACAGGAUUAGAUACCCUGGUAGUCCACGCCGUAAAAGAUGAAUGCUAGGUGUUGGAGGGUUUCCGCCCUUCAGUGCC